AAAAAGGGCUUCUGUCGUGAGUGGCACAUGUAGGGCAACUUGAGUGCUCUACGUGCGGAAUCGACAUCAAGAGAUUUCGGAAGCAUAAUUUUUCGACUUUUGGGCAGCUGGUGAUCGUUGGUCCUGGCGCCCUU
ensembl:snRNA